ACGGCAGCACGGGUGCUUGCACCUGGUGGCGAGUGGCGAACGGGUGAGUAAUGCGUCGGAACGUACCGAGUAAUGGGGGAUAACGCAGCGAAAGUUGUGCUAAUACCGCAUACGCCCUGAGGGGGAAAGUGGGGGACCGCAAGGCCUCACGUUAUUCGAGCGGCCGACGUCUGAUUAGCUAGUUGGUGGGGUAAAGGCCUACCAAGGCGACGAUCAGUAGCGGGUCUGAGAGGAUGAUCCGCCACACUGGGACUGAGACACGGCCCAGACUCCUACGGGAGGCAGCAGUGGGGAAUUUUGGACAAUGGGGGCAACCCUGAUCCAGCCAUUCCGCGUGAGUGAAGAAGGCCUUCGGGUUGUAAAGCUCUUUCAGCUGGAACGAAACGGUACGCGCUAACAUCGUGUGCUAAUGACGGUACCGGCAGAAGAAGCACCGGCUAACUACGUGCCAGCAGCCGCGGUAAUACGUAGGGUGCGAGCGUUAAUCGGAAUUACUGGGCGUAAAGCGUGCGCAGGCGGAUUGUUAAGCAAGACGUGAAAUCCCCGGGCUUAACCUGGGAAUGGCGUUUUGAACUGGCAGUCUAGAGUGCGUCAGAGGGGGGUGGAAUUCCACGUGUAGCAGUGAAAUGCGUAGAGAUGUGGAGGAACACCGAUGGCGAAGGCAGCCCCCUGGGAUGACACUGACGCUCAUGUACGAAAGCGUGGGUAGCAAAC
rnacentral:rRNA from 1 species